rnacentral:misc_RNA from 1 species
AACGCAUAUUGCGCUCGAGGCCUCGGCCAAGAGCAUGUCUGCCUCAGCGUCGGUGUACACCCUCGUCCAUACACACCAUGCGUGUGCAUGUGCACGGAGUUGGUUCUCCCGGAGAUGCCUAUGCGCCUCCUGGUGAGCUCAAGAAUCAGACGGCAGGUCCUUCAAUGGCCUUGAUUGGGUAGGUUGUAAACCAACAAUACUUGAUCAUUGGUCUGGGCUUGUGUUACGUCGUGAUACAGCAGGAAACCCUACACCCUUUCGACCUGAGCUCAGGCAAGAUUACCCGCUGAACUUAA